rnacentral:rRNA from 1 species
GACAGAGGGUGCGAACGUUGCUCGGAAUUACUGGGCGUAAAGCGCGUGUAGGCGGGUAAUCAAGUCAGGUGUGAAAUCCCUGGGCUCAACCCAGGAACUGCACUUGAAACUGGUUGCCUUGAGUGUUGGAGAGGGAAGCGGAAUUCCUGGUGUAGAGGUGAAAUUCGUAGAUAUCAGGAGGAACACCGGUGGCGAAGGCGGCUUCCUGGACAAUUACUGACGCUGAGACGCGAACGCGUGGGGAGCAAACAGG